CGCCCGGGAACUACAAGCCAAGCUUAAAACCCAAAGGACUUGACGGUACCCCAUAUCCCCCUAGAGGAGCCUGUCCUGUAAUCGAUAAUCCCCGUUUAACCUCACCAUUUUUAGUUAAUCAGCCUGUAUACCUCCGUCGUCAGCUUACCACGUGAGCGAAACUUAGUGAGCCUAAUGCCUAUACACCAAUACGUCAGGUCAAGGUGCAGCAAAUAGAAUGGGAAGAGAUGGGCUACACUUUCUAGUAUAGAAAAUACGAAAGACUACCUAUGAAACCUAGUCGGAAGGCGGAUUUAGCAGUAAAAAGAAACC
rnacentral:rRNA from 1 species